UACGAGAGCUACGAGCGUUAAUCCGGAAUUAUUGGGCGUAAAGGGUGCGUAGGUGGCUGUGUUAGUCUUCUGUCAAAUUCCCGAGCUUAACUUGGGAUCCGCAGAAGAUACGGCAUAGCUAGAAAGUGCGAGAGGUGUACGGAAACUCAUGGUGUAGGGGGUGAAAGUCCGUUUGAUAUCAUGGGGAACAACCAAAGGCGAAAGCAGUACGACUGGCG
rnacentral:rRNA from 1 species